rnacentral:rRNA from 1 species
ACGGGGUGCAGCAGGCGCGAAAACUUUACAAUGCGGGCAACCGCGAUAAGGGGACCUCGAGUGCCAGGAUACAAUUCUGGCUGUCGCGAUGCCUAAAAAGCAUUGCAUAGCAAGGGCCGGGCAAGACCGGUGCCAGCCGCCGCGGUAACACCGGCGGCUCGAGUGGUAACCGCUAUUAUUGGGUCUAAAGGGUCUGUAGCCGGCCGAAUAAGUCUCUUGGGAAAUCCGGCAGCUCAACUGUCGGGCUUUCAGGAGAUACUGUUCGGCUCGAGACCGGAAGAGGUGAGAGGUACUUCAGGGGUAGGGGUGAAAUCUUGUAAUCCUUGAAGGACCACCAGUGGCGAAGGCGUCUCACCAGAACGGAUCUGACGGCAAGGGACGAAAGCUAGGGGCACGAACCGGAUUAGAUACCCGGGUAGUCCUAGCCGUAAACAAUACUCGCUAGGUGUCGGCCACGGUGCGACCGUGGUCGGUGCCGUAGGGAAACCGUGAAGCGAGCCACCUGGGAAGUACGGCCGCAAGGCUGAAACUUAAAGGAAUUGGCGGGGGAGCAC